UACGAAGGGGGGCUAGCGUUGCUCGGAAUCACUGGGCGUAAAGCGCACGUAGGCGGAUUGCUAAGUCAGGGGGUGAAAAUCCCGGGGGCUCAACCCCCGGAACUGCCUUUGAUACUGGGGUGUCUAGAGUAUGGAAGAGGUGAGUGGAAUUCCGAGUGGUAGGGGUGAAAUUUCGUAGAUAUUCGGAGGAACACCAGUGGCGAAGGCGGCUCACUGGGUCCAUUACUGACGCUGAGGUGCGAAAGCGUGGGGGAGCAAACAGG
rnacentral:rRNA from 1 species